GGGGAUGACAGGUCUCGACGGGGAGGGCUGGCUCGAGACUGCAAGCAGAGGUGCCUCCACCUCGUAAAACAGGGGCAAACAAUAAGUGCCAAUACAGCACGAACACCGGCGUAUGCUUACGCCAUGGCUGCGUAAAGCAAUCUAGCGUAAGCGCACGCUUUGGCCACUAAGAAUGGCCACGUCCAUCCCCCUCUCGCUGCCGGUGGAGUGGGAUUGGGCGUCAUAGGAACCGGAGUGCAGCUGCCUCCAUGCUGAUAAAGGCAGCCUAAGACCCUCCAACGAGGGAUCAGCUGGCUCCAGAGCAACUCUGUCGGUUGAGGUGCAUGGAGCGAGAGCAAAAAACCGACUAAGCUUGUAGGAUGUCUCCAGCCGAACUCUUCGGACGCGGGUUCGAUUCCCGCCAUCUCCACUG
rnacentral:tmRNA from 1 species